AUACACAUACAGAAGAUGAUAUUGUUCCUGUUACAAAGAGAAACUAAGGAGUUUACUUUGAGUGUUGGUAAAUUAUUUCAUGCAUCUAUGGAAUGUUUUGCCACGCUGGUUAAGACUUCGGUAUCUUACUUUACCGUCAUAUAUUCUACACGAUGACGAAGCAAGUAUGAAUUUAAUAACAGCAUGGU